GCCCCUAUAGCUCAGUGGUUAGAGCACUGGUCUCGUAAACCAGGGGUCGUGAGUUCGUCUCUCAUGGGGGCA
rnacentral:tRNA from 1 species